CGAGCACGCGCGUGUGGCAUAUCAAUAAGCGGAGGAAAAGAAACUAACAAGGAUUCCCUUAGUAACGGCGAGUGAAGCGGGAAGAGCUCAAAUUUGAAAUCUUCAAGGUUCUACCUUGACGAAUUGUAGUUUAUAGAAGUGUUUUCUGUUAGUGGAGUGGCAAAAGUUCUUUGGAAUAGGACAUCAUAGAGGGUGAGAAUCCCGUAUUUGGUCAUUCCUCCUAGCGUUGUGAUACACUUUCAACAAGUCGGAUUGUUUGGGAAUGCAGUCCAAAAUGGGUGGUAAAUUUCAUCUAAAGCUAAAUAUUGGCGAGAGACCGAUAGUGAACAAGUACCGUGAGGGAAAGAUGAAAAGAACUUUGAAAAGAGAGUUAAACAGUACGUGAAAUUGUCAAAAGGGAAGCGUUUGACACCAGUGUUGUUUUUCCGAAAAUCAAUUACGAAUGUUUUGUUUUUGAGGAAGUUAUGACUUCAUCGGCUUGCUCUCUUCUUUACGAAACUUUCUUAAUGCACUUUUCGGUUAGCAAGUCAACAUCAAUUUCUUUUGUUGUAAAAGGGUAUGAGGAAGGUGGCUUUCUUUUCGGAGAAAGUGUUUAUAGCCUUGUGCCUCUACAAUCGGAGAGAUUGAGGUCUGCAGCGUAGAUCCUUCGGGGUUAGAUACGUUUGUGCUAAGUUAUAGCUUCUCAUAGACAACUUGUUGACUAUGUUUAGUCUUGUAGCUUACUCGCUGACGCUAUUUUACCUACGCUUAGGAUGUUGAUGUGAUACUGCGAGCA
rnacentral:rRNA from 1 species